rnacentral:tRNA from 1 species
ACCCGGGUGGUGGAACUGGUAGACACGCAGGACUUAAAAUCCUGUCUUCAGCAAUGGAGGUGUGGGUUCAACUCCCAUCCCGGGUA